UAUUAAAAAGAAAAGAAACCCGAACCCGUUACAAGCGAGUUAAGGGAUCCUUGACGCAUGCUCCCCUUACCCCCUCCGGAUCAGUAUCCACGGAAAAAUAGAAACAACCACCAAUUCACUCUCACUAAUUAUACUCUUCUUGGCGAUUUUCUCGCAUCAAAGUUCGCUAAGACUCAUUCUUCUUCUUCUUUGUCGUCGCCAUUUCCGAUCAUUCAUAGCUUCACAUCUACUCUGUGAACAUAACUCAAGACACAUGUUCGUCAAAAAGCUCGUUGACAAGGCUUCUUUGAAGAAGUUGGAAGAUUUCUUGUUGUUGACCUUGUAAAAAAAAAAAAAAAAAAAAACCACAAGAUAUUACGUGUUUCGGCAGAGUGCCUACGUCACUAAAGGCUGGAUUUCAACUUUCUUACUGAUAUGUUUUUCUCUCUGAUUUUCAUACAUCUUAUAGUAUUUUUUCAAGGUUGCAGUAGAAUCGGAAUCGUUGGAUCUGAUUGUAAAUAGUAAGAUUCUACCAAUUUGUAAAAAAAAAUUCAAAAUACUUUUUUAAACAAUAUUGUUUGUAAAAUAUAACAAGAAUAAGGCCAAAACACAAAAAAUUGAGACAUAAACAGAACAGAAAAUAACACAAAAACAGAAAUCCUCAAAAUUGAACAAAUUCCUCAAAAUCAUCGUCACCAAGUAGUCACAUACUCACGUAUGGAGUAUGGACCAAGUAGUUAUUAAUAUGUUUUUGAUUUGAAACAAAUCACAACACAACAAUAAAAAUGAAGUCUUUCUUUAUUUUUGUUUCAGAACUGACAAAGAAUAGGUGAAAAAAUAGAAUUCUUUAUGUUCCUUGUACUGAAAAAGAAAGGAAAAAAGAGAGAAAGUAAGUAGAAUAAAACAAAAUAGAUGAAUUUUUUGAAAUUUUAAACGAUACCUUUGAAAUUCAGAGUUGAUCGUCUCUACAUUUGAGGUUCGUUUCUUUGUUUUUUAUUUAAUUUUUUUUUGUUUUUUUAAUUUAAUUAGGCUAAAGAGUUGGACUUUAUAUUUUAAAUGAUUAAAUUUAUUAGUCCAAAAUUUAUGGUAGGCCCAAAUAAAUUCGGAAGAAGAACAACGCAAAUACAAUCAGAAAAUGUGAUUCAUAGGACAGAGGACAGGUUGGAUGUGAGACCUGAAGAUAUUUAAACCUCUCUCUUAUGAGCAGCAUGUAGUCUGUACAGUGCUUUGUAGUUGUACAGAAAAGAUUCGGCGGACAUGAAACUUUUGUUUCUUCUUUUGCGUGUGCAAACAGGUACCAUCCCUCCAUGGAAUAGAAAAAUUCAUGUUCUACUAUGCACUUGGUUCCAAAUUGCGUCCAUUGGAUGUUCUUAGACCUUCUGGUUCAUGAUUUUUCUUGGAUCUUUUGAUAUGUUCUGUUGCUAUGAUUAUGUAUGCAGAAUAUGCGUGAGGGUGAUCAGAUGUUUAGAAUGUUUUUUAUUAUACCAAUUGAAAUCAGCCCAUUGCUUUGCCUACUAUUUAGUGAACCCAUUGUGCUUCUUGACAGCUUUAAUGUUCAAAGAAAUAGUUUUAAUGAGUUAGUAUAUCUCAUUUCUAUUUUAUCUGCUGAUUAAGGUGAUGGAUGACUAGACAAAUGAGAUACUCUCUUUAGCUGCUUAAAGAGCUCUUUCCUUAUUUUGUGCACUUGUGAUAAAACUGCAUGGACCAGGUCUGGGCCGAAUUCAUGCUGGCCUACUUAUGGGUGGGAUGGAUUUUAGUUUUGGUUACAAUCCAACUUUAUUUCAUGUUGAAUACUAAAGUCUUGACUCGAGUGGUAUGCCCACCUUUUUAAAUGGGAUAGCGUUCAUGCCCCAAUAGGAGCAUGUGCAUUAGUAAAUUUGCCUAUUGGAAUAAAGGACUUCAUUUCUUGAUGAGAACCUAUCGGGAAAAAAAAAAAUGGUCUCACUUAUUAUCAUAUUUUGUUCAAAAUAAAAGGAAAAAAAUAAAUAAAUAAAUUGGGACAAAAUUUAAUUUGAGUGGAGCUGGAUUUAAUGCUGGAACCUAUUAGAUUGUGGACUUCAAUAAAAUUUAAUCUAAGUUAUCUUGAAUGCACUUUUUGUGGAGGCUUUUGAAAUUAUAAUUCUGUUGGCAUGAAUUGUAGAUAUCGGUGCUUAGCCACUCAAAAGGGUGUUUUUUUUUUUUUUUUGGUGGAUAGGUAAGCUA